AAAAAAAAAAAAAAGGAAAAUGGGCUUUGGAUUAUGAAUAUGAUAGAGGAGGGUAUUGUAUAAUUGUAUAUGGAGAAUGAGGAGGGAAGAAACAGUGCAAUUAUGCAGGCUAAAUCUUGUUGGCAAGGACAGAUCUAGCCAUGUGAUGUUUUAUUUUAUUUUAUAUUAUUUUCACUAUUUUGCUUGUUGUGAAAGUUCUGCUACACCA
rnacentral:misc_RNA from 1 species